UGGGAGUGAGUCCCACGUUAGCUAAUUUAGGGAAUAAUCAUGGGUUUAUAAGUGACGAAUACUAUAUUCAUUAUUAUGAUGCCUUCUGGAGAAGCCCAAAUAAAAGUCAUGAGAGCUUAUGCUCAAAGUGGAUAAUAUCGUAUCAUUGUGGAGAUCCGUGAUUCUUAACUUGGUAUCAGAG